rnacentral:rRNA from 1 species
AAAUUGAAGAGUUUGAUCAUGGCUCAGAUUGAACGCUGGCGGCAGGCCUAACACAUGCAAGUCGAGCGGUAGCACAGAGAGCUUGCUCUCGGGUGACGAGCGGCGGACGGGUGAGUAAUGUCUGGGAAACUGCCUGAUGGAGGGGGGAUAACUACUGGAAACGGUAGCUAAUACCGCAUAAUGUCGCAAGACCAAAGUGGGGGACCUUCGGGCCUCAUGCCAUCAGAUGUGCCCAGAUGGGAUUAGCUAGUAGGUGGGGUAACGGCUCACCUAGGCGACGAUCCCUAGCUGGUCUGAGAGGAUGACCAGCCACACUGGAACUGAGACACGGUCCAGACUCCUACGGGAGGCAGCAGUGGGGAAUAUUGCACAAUGGGCGCAAGCCUGAUGCAGCCAUGCCGCGUGUGUGAAGAAGGCCUUCGGGUUGUAAAGCACUUUCAGCGGGGAGGAAGGCGAUAAGGUUAAUAACCUUGUCGAUUGACGUUACCCGCAGAAGAAGCACCGGCUAACUCCGUGCCAGCAGCCGCGGUAAUACGGAGGGUGCAAGCGUUAAUCGGAAUUACUGGGCGUAAAGCGCACGCAGGCGGUCUGUCAAGUCGGAUGUGAAAUCCCCGGGCUCAACCUGGGAACUGCAUUCGAAACUGGCAGGCUAGAGUCUUGUAGAGGGGGGUAGAAUUCCAGGUGUAGCGGUGAAAUGCGUAGAGAUCUGGAGGAAUACCGGUGGCGAAGGCGGCCCCCUGGACAAAGACUGACGCUCAGGUGCGAAAGCGUGGGGAGCAAACAGGAUUAGAUACCCUGGUAGUCCACGCCGUAAACGAUGUCGAUUUGGAGGUUGUGCCCUUGAGGCGUGGCUUCCGGAGCUAACGCGUUAAAUCGACCGCCUGGGGAGUACGGCCGCAAGGUUAAAACUCAAAUGAAUUGACGGGGGCCCGCACAAGCGGUGGAGCAUGUGGUUUAAUUCGAUGCAACGCGAAGAACCUUACCUGGUCUUGACAUCCACAGAACUUUCCAGAGAUGGAUUGGUGCCUUCGGGAACUGUGAGACAGGUGCUGCAUGGCUGUCGUCAGCUCGUGUUGUGAAAUGUUGGGUUAAGUCCCGCAACGAGCGCAACCCUUAUCCUUUGUUGCCAGCGGUCCGGCCGGGAACUCAAAGGAGACUGCCAGUGAUAAACUGGAGGAAGGUGGGGAUGACGUCAAGUCAUCAUGGCCCUUACGACCAGGGCUACACACGUGCUACAAUGGCAUAUACAAAGAGAAGCGACCUCGCGAGAGCAAGCGGACCUCAUAAAGUAUGUCGUAGUCCGGAUUGGAGUCUGCAACUCGACUCCAUGAAGUCGGAAUCGCUAGUAAUCGUAGAUCAGAAUGCUACGGUGAAUACGUUCCCGGGCCUUGUACACACCGCCCGUCACACCAUGGGAGUGGGUUGCAAAAGAAGUAGGUAGCUUAACCUUCGGGAGGGCGCUUACCACUUUGUGAUUCAUGACUGGGGUGAAGUCGUAACAAGGUAACCGUAGGGGAACCUGCGGUUGGAUCACCUCCUUACCUUAAAGAA